UACGAAGGGGGCUAGCGUUGCUCGGAAUCAUCGUGGGCGUAAAGCGCACGUAGGCGGCUUCUUAAGUCAGGGGUGAAAUCCUGGAGCUCAACUCCAGAACUGCCUUUGAUACUGAGGAGCUUGAGUCCGGGAGAGGUGAGUGGAACUGCGAGUGUAGAGGUGAAAUUCGUAGAUAUUCGCAAGAACACCAGUGGCGAAGGCGGCUCACUGGCCCGGUACUGACGCUGAGGUGCGAAAGCGUGGGGGAGCAAAGCAGG
rnacentral:rRNA from 1 species